GACGAACGCUGGCGGCGUGCCUAAUACAUGCAAGUAGAACGCAGUUGCGAACGGGUGAGUAACGCGUAGGUAACUGCCUCAUAGCGGGGGAUAACUACUGGAAACGGUAGCUAAUACCGCAUACUGUGAGAUGGCCCUGCGGUGUAUUAGCGAGUUGGAGAGGUAAAGGCACACCAAGGCGACGAUACAUAGCCGACCUGAGAGGGUUAUCUGCCAAACGUGGACCGAGGCAAGGGCCAGACCCCUUAGGGAGGCAGCAGUAGGGAAGCUUCGGGAAUGGACGGAAGUCUGACCAAGCCACGCCGCGUGAGUGAAGAAGGUUUUCGGAUCGUAAAGCUCUGUUGUUAGAGAAGCGGUAACUAACCAGAAAGGGACGGCUAACUACGUGCCAGGCGCCGCGGUAAUUC
rnacentral:rRNA from 1 species